UACGAAGGGGGCGAGCGUUGUUCGGAUUUACUGGGCGUAAAGGGCGCGUAGGCGGCGCCGGAAGUCGAGUGUGAAAGCCCCGGGCUUAACCUGGGAAUGGCCAUGGAAACUGGCGAACUGGAGUGUGGCAGAGGGGGGUGGAAUUCCGCGUGUAGCAGUGAAAUGCGUAGAGAUGCGGAGGAACACCGAUGGCGAAGGCAGCCCCCUGGGCUAGCACUGACGCUCAGGCACGAAAGCGUGGGGAGCAAACAGG
rnacentral:rRNA from 1 species